CUAUAACAAAAUGAAAAGAAACCAUUUUAAUUCCUUCUUUUAGGCUCUUGAAGGAGGAACAGUUCAAGUAUUUACAUAACCCUCACCUUCAUGUCUUCAACUACCACAUUAUUGACCCUUACUCAUAAGAGGUACAGAGAUGUGGAAGAAAUCGAAAAUUAUUUCUGGAUAGGUGUGGUCCAGAAUGGAAAAGGCCAAGGAGAUAAGAAAGGAGCAUGUGAAAGGCACUGUGGAUCUGAUCUAUGAUCUGUGCCUUCCCAUGACAAAGGUGUGAAGAACUGUUUUACAAAAGAGUAGAGAGGCCUUGUCUGUAAUAAACAGCUUAUUACAGAACUAUAAUCUACAGGUUUCAUUGUAAGCUUAGGUUUACCCAUACCAUCCUUCUUUAUGUUCAAAGAGAAUGGUGUGAAGCUUCUUUUAACCAGGCUAUUAAAAAGUUGUCUUCAUUGAUGACUUUAGGCAUCAUUUAUAAAGGCAGUUCUGCAGACGUUUUCCCUCUUUCUGUAAUACCUACACCCUACAACUAUCUGCCUUUCUCACAAGCAUAUGAGCACAGUGCAUAUGAGCAUGUUAAGGCUUUAAGUCUUAGAGUAAAGAAAUCUUUUGUUUUCUUUAAGACACUAUUUCCUAAACCCAUUUAAUCACCUAAACCUAUUUUGGCAGUAUGUGUAUUCAAAUAAAACUGAAGUUCUACAGAACACAGGUGAGAAAAUGCUGUACUAGAGGAAAAGUAGGUGUCUGGGAUAUGACAUGAAGAAUAUAGGUUCUUUAUGUGUCAUAGUAUGGGACAGAAUGCACUACUGACUUUGGUGUCAUUAGAUCGAGCUUUGUGGCUGUGUAAGCUUAGACACACUUAACCUGCCUGAUUCUCAGUUUACCCAUCUAGAAAUUGGGAUCAUAUGCUCCUUUUACAAAAGUUAGAGUAAAGUGCCAUAUAGUGUCUGCCACAUAUCCAUGGCUCUGGGUGUCAUUGAUAUAUACAAAGUUAUAUACAUACAAAAAUAUAAUAAAUGUUCAUUGUCCUGAGAGAAAGAAAAACCCAGGUCUUCAGCCACUAUUAAUUACACAAUAUCAAAACAACAGGUUAAUUCAAAAAGUCCCAAACAAUUUUCUGAAGAGAUAAUAUCUACUUCAAAAAUUGAGAAGCAUUGAUAACUAAGGCCAGCUUCCACCAUAACGUCAUUUUUUAAAAACUUGUUAAAUUAUCUUUUGUGUGUUACAAGUGCAGUAGCCUUCCUGAAACGUGUGUAGGGAAGUUUCACUAUUUUAAGCAAAAUUGCCGAAAGUUCACUUUAGCAAUCUGUGUUUUCCAGGGAGAAAAAUUAUAUCCUUCCAAAUGAUGAAGGAACCAUCAUCCAAUUUGGAUUUUGGUGAUAGCAAAACACAAUGGCUUUUCUAGAAGUCACAAAAUAUAAAUGACUCCUGGGUAACAUUUUACAGUAUUUUCAUUGCAAAGGGUAGUAAACUGAAAAAUUAAAUCAAAUUCAACAAUAUGACCUCAAUAUAGUGUUACUGAUAUUGAAAAAUAACGUUAAACGAAAAAACAAAAUCCAAAAUAACUUUCUUCUACUUACUAGAGUGUAACAGAUAAAAAUGAGGCUUUAAAAAGUGUCUAAAAAACAAUCUGAUCUAAUGUGCUGGAUGCCUUUUUUUCUCUUCAUCUCCAGUUAGAAUCAUUCAUUUUUACUAAUUUCCCAUUUUAACUUUCAGAUACUCAAGAAUAUAAUUUUUAGCCAAGCAAAAUCUCUGUUUUAAAGAAUUCCUAGGCCGGGUGUGGUGGCUCAUGCCUGUAAUCCCAGCACUUUGGGAGGCCGAGGUGGGUGGAUCACCUGAGGUCAGGAGUUCAAGAACAGCCUUGCCAACAUGGUGAAACCCUGUCUCUACUAAAAAUACAACAAACAAACAAACAAAAAAACCCCAAAAAAACAGUGCCAGGCAUGGUGGCGCACCCCUGUAAUCCCAGCUACUCAGGAGGCUGAGGCCCGAGACUCGUUUGAAUCCAGGAGGUAGAGGUUGCAAUGAGCUGAGAUCACACCACUGCACUCCAGCCUGGGUGACAGAAUGAGACCCCGUAUUAAAAAAAAAAAAAAAAAUUACUCUUAUCCUUUCUUCUCAGGAUGGAAGGCAUGAGGAUACUGGCUAAGCUUCUUCAUUAAAGUUAACAAUCUUAAAAUAGAAGCAGCUCUGCAAUCUCAUAGUAAUCUUUUUGGUCUUUGCAGUUUAUCCACUUAAAAAGUGGAAGAGACAAACACAAGGCAAUUCUUUUUUUUUUUUUUGAGAUGGAGUUUCGCUCUUGCUGCCCAAGCUAGAGUGCAAUGGCACAAUCUCGGCUCACUGCAACCUCCGCCUCCUGGGUUCAAGUGAUUCUCCUGCCUCAGCUUCCCGAGUGGCUGGGAUCACAGGCAUGUGCCACCACGCCCAGCUAAUUUUGUAUUCUUAGUAGACACAAGAUUUCUCCAUGUUGGUCAGGCUGGUCUUGAACUCCCAACCUCAGGUGAUCCACCCACCUCGGCCUACCAAAGUGCUGGGAUUACAGGUGUGAACCACCGUGCCCAGCCACAAGGCAAUUCUUAAAAGGGUGUGAUUACUGCAGAAUAUUCUGGAAGGAUGGAUGAUUUCCCAGCCUUUGCUCAUGUUAUUCCCUUUACUGGAUCUUCGCACCAAGCCCAGCUGUUGCUGCCAUGUAUGUUUUGCAAAUGGAGUGCUCAGCUGGCUCGUUUCCCUUCAGCAUGUGGCCAGCGCGUGGUCCACAGGCCUGAUAGAUCUUUUCUAGCCACACUUGAGCUCUGCCUGCCCCCACAGCUUCCCUCAUUUUGCUACUGUAUAAUUAACAUUUCUCCCCUUGAGAAGAUGUAUGUCCAGUUCCUACAAAGACUUCACAGAGGUGGCCCCACACUCAAUGAGCUGACUCUAACUUAACCAGGUUAACUUGGCACUCACAUUCCCACACUCAAUGAGCUGAUUCUCACUUAACCAGGUUAACGUGGCACUCUGACAUUAUCAAGUCCAUUGUAUGUAUGACAUCAGUCUUCUUACUGGAGAAGAGCACUUUGAGCUGGUCUCUGUGAUCUCAUGACUCCUCACAACUCUGCCGUGAGCAUAUCACUCCCACUUUAUGGGUGAGAAAUCUGAGGCUCACGGAGGUUAUGCAACUUACCCAAAGGCGCUACUAGGAAUGGAGAAGCAAGGAUUCAAAUCAGGCUGCCUGUUGGCUAAAACUAUGUUCUUUUCAGGACGUCAUUUAAUUCCACAUUACGGCUUCAAAAUAAAACACUCCCUACUUACCCACUUGAGGUUAUUUUAAAGAGACAUAGAGUAGAAUCCAUCCUCUUUUAUGGUUUUUUUUUUUUUUUUUUGAAUGUCAAACUUAGAUUUAGAUCUCCUGAGCUUUUUUCCUUAACUUUGCUUUUUAUCCUUACUGGCUUCCCAGUGUUUAGAAGAUGAAAGUAAAGAAUUAUUAAACAUAGGAAGGAGCCACUUCCUAAGGCUAUUCCAAAGAUAGCAAAAUAAAUCUCACACUCAAAAAGCAGAGAGAGAGAUAAAGGUGGCAGGGGGUGGUGGUGGGGGAAGAACUGAAGUAAUAAACUGAAGAACAGUAAAACAAUCAGUGCAAACUAUUCCUGUGUCACUCCUCACAAGAUAGUCUUUGCAAUCUUCUCAAUGCAAAGAUGACAACCUACACGAAAGACGCCAGGGGAGCAGCUUUAAUGUACUGCAUUUGUAAGACACCUGGCUAUGAGUUUGACUCUUGAUCUUUCCAACAAUUUAGACUCACAACACAAAGAGAAGCCAUCAAAGAGUAGAGUGUAAAAAACUACAGGCACUAUGGCAAACACUUUGGGGGAAGGAAUUUUUUAUUUUCAACACAAAACAAUUACUUUCGUCAAUGAUAAUGGAGAAGGAACUUUCAUGAAUAACUCCAAAUAGUGGACACCCUGGCUGUCAUUUAUUUUUGGUUCUAGAAUAUCUUCUUAGAGUUUAUGACUUUCAUAAUUAAGUCUAGGUAAGGCUAAUAAGACUAACUUCAGUUUCUGCAAUUGGAAGUCUCACUCCUUGAGAAAAGGAGAAAAAGAAAGGUAAUCGGGAAGCCUGGUGAGGCUGGACCUGAAGGAUGCACAGGCUGGGGACAAGGUAAGAGUAACCCUGACUCUCUUCUCUUUAAUUCCUGAGGGAGGAUGUCGUUACCAUGUUGGAACUUGGAAGUGACAAUUUUGAAUCCUCUGAGUUGCUCAGCAUUCCAAAUACCCACUGCCAAUUGCUUUUCAAAUGCAGUGAAUGACAUGAAAAAAAUUGGAUACUAGAACUAUAAACCAGUGUCACUUUCCAGGAGAAAGGGUGGCCCAUAUAUUACAACUAAAAACUAGAACAGCAUAAAUACCCCAAUGUGGAAACAUGGCAAACAAACAGUGGUGUCUUGAUGCAAUUGUGAGGAAGGGACUAUAUGGAGCAAAGAUGAAUUAAAAAAAAAAAACAACAGAAUUUAAAAUCCUGCGCCCAGAUGUAAAACUAUACUUGUAUAAUCUAUGAGGAAGGGGCUACAGUUUAUUAAUAGUGCCUGGGGGUUCAGUGGCUUUUCAGCUGUUAUUUUAUGUUGUCGUUGAGAUUGAGUGUUUCUGGUUGGAUUUUAAAAUUGAGAUGACCGUACUCGCUCUGGCAGCACCUAUACUAAAACUGGAAUGAUUAGCAUGGCCCCUGCAUGAGAAUGACAUGUAAAUUCAUGAAGCAUUCCAUUUUUUUUUUUUUCAACAUUUUUACAGACACUCGGGACUACUGGGAGUGGGGAGGAACAAGGGGUGAAAAACAAACUAUUGGGUACUAUGCUCACUACCUGGGUGACGAGAGCAAUCGUAUCCCAAACCCCGGCAUCACAUAACCAUGUAGCAAACCUGCAC
rnacentral:lncRNA from 10 species